rnacentral:lncRNA from 1 species
AAGCAUUAGAAUAGGUGGAAAACUGCCUCGCCUCCCUUUAUAUUUCCCCAGUUUAAGUGUGUCUUCUAUAAUUGCUUGAGUUGAGUCAUGGUUAGAAGAUGUUUACCUCAUUGACCCCUCGAGGUUUUUAUUUGUGAUAUUUUUUGGGAUCAUCUCAAAACUAUAAUGCUUAUAGAUCGUCGGUCAUCAGGCCGUCGUUCUAAUAUUGCUUCCAAUUUAACUUUUUGUUUUAGCCUCCUUUACCAAUAAUGGAAAUUGUGGUCUUGUUACUUCUCUAUGUUCUUUUGUAGAACAUUUUUUAAACAACGCCUGAUGACUCGUACAAUUGAAAUACUAGGUGUAUUUAAUAAUUUGAUGAGGAGGGAAGACUGAGAUGAAGAC